rnacentral:rRNA from 1 species
UACGUAGGAUGCAAGCGUUGUCCGGAAUUAUUGGGCGUAAAGGGCGCGCAGGCGGUCUGUCAAGUCAGUUGUGAAAUCUCCCGGCUUAACUGGGAGGGGCCAAUUGAUACUAGCAGACUUGAGGACAGAAGAGGAAAGUGGAAUUCCCGGUGUAGUGGUGAAAUGCGUAGAUAUCGGGAGGAACACCAAUGGCGAAAGCAGCUUUCUGGUCUGUAUCUGACGCUCAGGCGCGAAGGCUAGGGGAGCAAACAG